rnacentral:rRNA from 1 species
AUUGAACGCUGGCGGCAGGCCUAACACAUGCAAGUCGAACGGUAACAGGAAGAAGCUUGCUUCUUUGCUGACGAGUGGCGGACGGGUGAGUAAUGUCUGGGAAACUGCCUGAUGGAGGGGGAUAACUACUGGAAACGGUAGCUAAUACCGCAUAACGUCGCAAGACCAAAGAGGGGGACCUUCGGGCCUCUUGCCAUCGGAUGUGCCCAGAUGGGAUUAGCUAGUAGGUGGGGUAACGGCUCACCUAGGCGACGAUCCCUAGCUGGUCUGAGAGGAUGACCAGCCACACUGGUACUGAGACACGGUCCAGACUCCUACGGGAGGCAGCAGUGGGGAAUAUUGCACAAUGGGCGCAAGCCUGAUGCAGCCAUGCCGCGUGUAUGAAGAAGGCCUUCGGGUUGUAAAGUACUUUCAGCGGGGAGGAAGGGAGUAAAGUUAAUACCUUUACUCAUUGACGUUACCCGCAGAAGAAGCACCGGCUAACUCCGUG